AUUGAACGCUGGCGGCAUGCCUUACACAUGCAAGUUGAACGGUAACGCGGGGCAGCCUGGCGNCGAGUGGCGAACGGGUGAGUAAUGCAUGGGUACGUGCCCAGUAGUGGGGGAUAGCCCGGCGAAAGCAGUNUAAUACCGCAUACGACCUACGGGUGAAAGCGGGGGAUCGCAAGACCUCGCGCUAUUGGAGCGGCCGAUGUCAGAUUAGGUAGUUGGUGGGGUAAAGGCCCACCAAGCCUACGAUCUGUAGCUGGUCUGAGAGGACGACCAGCCACACUGGGACUGAGACACGGCCCAGACUCCUACGGGAGGCAGCAGUGGGGAAUUUUGGACAAUGGGCGCAAGCCUGAUCCAGCCAUGCCGCGUGCGGGAAGAAGGCCUUCGGGUUGUAAACCGCUUUUGUCGGGGAAGAAAUCUUCUGGGCUAAUACCUCGGGAGGAUGACGGUACCCGAAGAAUAAGCACCGGCUAACUACGUGC
rnacentral:rRNA from 1 species